rnacentral:rRNA from 1 species
GACGAACGCUGGCGGCAGGCUUAACACAUGCAAGUCGAACGCCCCGCAAGGGGAGUGGCAGACGGGUGAGUAACACGUGGGAACCUUCCUAGGGGUACGGAACAACUCAGGGAAACUUGAGCUAAUACCGUAUACGUCCGUGAGGAGAAAGAUUUAUCGCCCUUAGACGGGCCCGCGUCGGAUUAGCUAGUUGGUGGGGUAACGGCCUACCAAGGCGACGAUCCGUAGCUGAUCUUAGAGGAUGAUCAGCCACACUGGGACUGAGACACGGCCCAGACUCCUACGGGAGGCAGCAGUGGGGAAUCUUGGACAAUGGGCGCAAGCCUGAUCCAGCCAUGCCGCGUGAGUGAAGAAGGUCUUCGGAUUGUAAAGCUCUUUUGCCAGGGACGAUAAUGACGGUACCUGGAGAAUAAGCCCCGGCAAACUUCGUGCCAGCCGCCGCCGUAA